rnacentral:lncRNA from 1 species
UAAACAAGAUUAGAUGUAACUAACUAUCUUCGCAACUUAUAUCACAUACAACAACACAUAGGAUUUCAAGAUCUAAGGUUUUGCAAGAAAGUAAGUUUUCUCUUUUCACUUUCUUCUUCAUGGCAUCUCAUAGUGGUACCCCUACAUGCCAUAAAGAGCACCCCAUUGAAUGGGAGGAGAGGGUCAUAAAAUCCUACUUGCUCCUA